UAGGGAAUAUUGGUAAUGUGCGAAAGCGCGAACCAGCAACGCCGCGUGCACGAUGAAGGCCUUCGGGCGUAAAGUGCUUUUAGAGAGGAUGAGGAAGGACAGUACUUUCUGAAUAAGCCUCGGCUAACUACGUGCCAGCAGCCGCGGUAAAACGUAGGAGGCAAGCGUUAUCCGGAUUUACUGGGCGUAAAGCGCAUGCAGGUGGUUUUGUAAGUUGGAUGUGAAAGCUCCUGGCUUAACUGGGAGAGGUCGUUCAAAACUACAAGACUUGAGAUUGGUAGAGGAAAAAUGGAAUUCCGGGUGUAGUGGUGAAAUGCGUAGAUAUCCGGAGGAACACCAGUGGCGAAAGCGGUUUUCUGGACCAAUUCUGACACUCAGAUGCGAAAGCUAAGGUAGCAAACGGAUUAGAGACCCCGGUAGUCUUAGCUGUAAACGAUGUGAACUUGGCGUCGGUGGGUUUAAAAUCCAUCGGUGCGAAGCUAACGCGAUAAGUUCACCGCCUGGGGACUACGGCCGCAAGGUUAAAAACUUAAAUGGAAUUGACGGGGUCAUAGCUGUUU
rnacentral:rRNA from 1 species